UUUUUUCCCAUUGAGAUGGGUUUCCCUUCAAUGUCUGGUGAUUCUUCAUUGUUCACAUUUAAUAGUGACACGUGAAGAAGGAGAAUGAGUCUGUGUUAUCAUUAGUGAAAGGCUCGUCUAGAUGGUGAUUCUUCACUGUUCACAUUUAAUAGUGACACGUGAAGAAGGAGAAUGAGUCUGUGUUAUCAUUAGUGAAAGGCUUGUCUAGAUGGUGAUUCUUCAUUGUUCACAUUUAAUAGUAACACAUGAAGGAGAAUGAGUCUGUGUUAUCAUUAGUGAAAGGCUCGUCUAGGUGGUGAUUCUUCACUGUUCACAUUUAAUAGUAACACAUGAAGGAGAAUGAGUCUGUGUUAUCAUUAGUGAAAGGCUCGUCUAGAUGGUGAUUCUUCACUGUUCACAUUUAAUAGUGACACGUGAAGAAGGAGAAUGAGUCUGUGUUAUCAUUAGUGAAAGGCUCGUCUAGAUGGUGAUUCUUCACUGUUCACAUUUAAUAGUGACACGUGAAGAAGGAGAAUGAGUCUGUGUUAUCAUUAGUGAAAGGCUCGUCUAGGUGGUGAUUCUUCACUGUUCACAUUUAAUAGUAACACAUGAAGGAGAAUGAGUGUGUUAUCAUUAGUGAAAGGCUCGUCUAGGUGGUGAUUCUUCACUGUUCACAUUUAAUAGUAACACGUGAAGGAGAAUGAGUGUGUUAUCAUUAGUGAAAGGCUCGUCUAGAGGUUUUGCUUCGGGGAGUCGAUGGGGUUUCCGCAUGUUAGUAAGUGAUGCCUUUGGUCUGGAUGGUUUCCUUCCUCUGGAGAAAACCUUCUCCUCUCCUCUCUGGAAGGCAGCUGCUUGCUUGUUGGUUGUUGGUGUUCUACUCACUGGUUACCCGAGGGGUGGGGUGCUGGCAUCGGUGAGGGAGGAUAAUGAGGGUUGACUGUCAAUGUACAGAUUUUAAUCGACCCUCCUGUUUUCUGAUGCCUGCCUCACUUCUCUGCCCCUCACCCCCAGGAAGGUCCACAGAUGAUGCUCCUUCUCACGGAUGCGAGGCCAUCAAAUCACUUUUUGUCUCCGCUGCUCUCUCUCCAUCGUGGAUAGCCACCAUGGUUUCUCAGGAGGGAAAGGACACAACUGGAAUCUACGGUCUCUAUUUUCCCGUUGCGAGAUUUCAGCGGAGAGCCUGGUGGCACUUACAGCAGACAUCACAGAUGCCUCAGCGUUUCGGAUGAGGACAGUAAAGACCUUCCUUGCUUCAUGAAACCUUCGUUUUCCAGGGGAGAAAACACAGGUUGAGUCUAAACUCAGUCCUCCUGUUGAAAUAUUUUAAUGACGCUGAAAGAGGCUGUUGCGUUUGGCAGGUGCGUGUGGAGCUGUGUGGCCCUGCACUGAAGCCCUGCAGUCCUGACUUCUGAGUGGAGCUACAGGAGAAUUAUGUUAAUGUGUUUGCACUACUCGCUCAGUUGUAAAAAGUUACAAAUAUAUUUAAUGAGGAUAAAAUAGUUUAACAAUGUUUACACACCUAUUUUAGUUAUUACAUUCUCUAAGCUAUUUUUAUCCUCACAACCAUGGAAGCACUCCGCCAUCUCCAUUUCAGAAAGUAGACAAUAACUGAAAAAAAACUGUCUACUUUUUUAAAACGUGAUUUACUUCAUUAUGAAAGUUCAUAGUUUAUGUAAUUAAUACCUUUUUGUGGUCUGCGUUCAGUGGGUGUUGGCAUCUGCACACUGUCGUGGGUCCACUGUUGUGGUGAAAUCGCACACAGUGAUCUCACUGCCCUAAACAUCCGGGGCUCUCUGCCCAUCCAUCCUUUCCUCUCCCCAACCCCUGUCGACCACUGAUUAUUUUACUAUCUAUGUAAUUUUCCCUUUUCCAAAAUGUCACGUAAUUACAUAGAUAUUUUACUCUCUAUGUAGUUUUUCCUUUUCCAAAAUGUCACAUAAUUGGAAUCAUACAGUAUGUAGCCUUUUUGGCUUCUUUCACUUAGUAAUGUGCAUUUUGGGUCCCUGUAUGCCUUUUCAUGACUUGAUAGCUCAUUUCUUUUCUCACUGAAUGAUAUUCCAUUGUCUGUAGGUACCAGAAUUUAUUUCUCAAUUCACCUACUGAAGGACAUGUUGGUCACCUCGUUUCUGGUAAUUCUGAAUAAAGCUUCUAUGUAGGUGCCAGCCCUACAGGGUUUGUGGGUUUUUUCUCCCCAUGUGCAGAGAUGAGAGAUUGUAGAAAAAGAGACACAAGACAAAGAGAUAAAAGAAAAGACAGCUGGGACCGGGGGACCACUACCACCAAGACGCAGAGACCAGUAGUGGCCCCGAAUGCCAGGCUGCGCUGUUAUUUAUUGGAUACAAAGCAAAAGGGGCAGGGUAAAGACUGUGAGUCAUCCAACUGAUUGAUAAGGUCACGGAGUCACGUGUCCACCAGACAGGGGGCCCUUCCCUGUUUGGCAGCCGAGUCAGAGAGACAGAGAGGACAGCUUAUGCCAUUAUUUUUUCUAUGCUCUUUUCAGAAAGAUCAAAGACUUUAAUACUUUCACUAAUUUGCUACUGCUAUCUAGAAGGCAGAGCCAGGUGUGCAGAGUGGAACAUGAGAGCGGACCAGGAGCGUGACCACUGAGGCACAGCAUCACAGGGAGACGGUUAGGCCUCCGGAUAACUGCAGGCGGGCCUGACUCAUGUCAGGCCCUCCACAAAAGGUGGAGGAGUAGAGUCUUCUCUAAACUCCCCCGGGGAAAGGGAGACUCCCUUUCCCGGUCUGCUAGGUAGCGGGUGUUUUUCCUUGACACUGACGCUACCACUAGACCACAGUCCGCUUGGCAACGGGCGUCUUCCCAGGCACUGGCGUUACCGCUAGACCAAGGAGCCCUCUGGUGGCCCGGUCCGGCCAUAACAGAAGGCUCGCACCCUUGUCUUCUGGUCACUCCUCACUAUGUCCCCUCAGCUCCUAUCUCUGUAUGGCCUGGCUUUUCCUGGGUUAUGAUUAUAGAGCGAGGGUUAUUAUAAUAUUGGAAUAAAGAGUAAUUGCUACAAACUAAUGAUGAAUGAUAUUCGUAGAUAAUCAUGUCUAUGAUCUAGAUCUAGUAUAACUCUUGUUAUUUUACAUAUUUUAUUACACUGGAACAGCUCGUGCCCUCGGUCUCUUACAUCGGCACCUGGGUGGCUUGCUGCCCACAUUUCUAUAAACAUUUGUGUGCAAGUUUGUGUGUGGAUAUAACUCUUCAACUCCAUUGGGUAAAUAAUGAGGAGCACAAUUGUUAAAUCUUAUGACAAGACUAUGUGAGCUUUGUAAAAACUGCCAAACUGUCUUCCAAAGUGGCUGUGCCAUUUUGCAUUCCCACAGCAAUGAAUGAGAGUUCUCAUUGCUCCACAUCCUCACCAGCAUUUGGUGCUUUCAUUCUUGUGGAUUGUGGCCAUUCUAACAGGUGUGUAGUGGUAUCUUAUUGCGUCUUAAUUGGCAAUUCCUAAUAACAUAUUAUACACAGCAUCUUUUCAUAUACUUAGUUUCCAUCUGCAGAUUUGUUCAGCUUUUGCCCAGUUUUGUUUGUUUUCUCAUUGUUGAGUUUUAAGAGUUCUUUGUGUAUUUCAGAUAUGAAUCCUUAGAUAUAUUUUGCAAAUAUUUUCUCGCAGUCUGUGAUUUAUCUUUUUAUUCUCUUAACAGUAUCUUUUGAAAACAAAAGUUUUUCAUGUUAAUGAAAUUAAACUUCCCAAUUUUUUUCUUUGUGGAUCAUGCUUUUGGUGUUGUAUCUGAAAAAAAAAACACCAAAUCCAAAGUUAUCUAGAUUUUUUUUCCUUAUGUUAUCUUCUAGAAGUUUGAAAAUUUUACAUUUCAUAUAUUGGUCUAAUAUCUACUUUGCAUUAACUUUUGUAAAAAGUAUAAGGUCUGUUACAUAUUCUUUUUUUUUUUGCAUGUGGAUGCCCACUUGUUCCAGAACCAUUUGUUAAAAAGACUCUCCUUUCUCCAUUGAAUUGCUUUUGCUCCUUUGUCAGAAAUCAGUUGGCUGCAUUUCAUUCUGUUUCUGGGUUCUCUGUUCUGUUUCACUGAUGUAUGUGUAUGUGUCUUCUGUUUUGCCUUCAAUUUAAAAAAUAUCUAAAUAUCUACUUGCUACCUCAAUUUGCUGAUGAAUUCUCAUUUGUAAACAGAAAAGCAUAAAUUAAAGCCUGAGUAUCUUUUGGGGUAGAUGUUGCAUUGAAUACAAUGAGCAGAAUGAGUUAUAAUCUUAAAGUGAAUAUAAAAAUUUGACCAUAGUGGUAACAGAUUUGUGCACUAGUGACAUCAAUGACAGAGUCCAUUGCAAUAUUGCUUCCUCCCAUAGGCUCAGCUCUGCUUCACACCAGGAGUAUCAAGUCCAAAAUGAAGCUCUUCAAACCAUCUGGGAAGAGAAAACAGCAUGACAAGGAAAGGUGUAUUUGUCUGAUCCCAGUAAUCAAUAUAAACAUCAAUGAUAACCCCACCUAUUUUUUUAAAUGUAUGAUUUGGAUGAAACAAGAGAAAGAGACUGAUUGUUGCUGAGUCCCUGCUGCAGUCCUGACACAGCUCUCCUUAUUUUGUUGAUGCUCAUGAGGACCCUGAUGUCUGAGGAAGAAGGUUCCCGUCCAGCUCUGCCCCUGGUGUGUCACAUGCCGGCCUUGUCAACGCACACGAGAACCUGACAGGGUGAGUGUUAUAACCCAGUCAUAGAAAAGGAAACUGGCUCUAAAGUGUAUGGCAUCUUGCCCAAGUUCUGACACUUAGCAGAGGCCUGAGUUUAAAUACAGCCUCGUCUUGCUCUUCGACAGCCUCAGCACCACAUGCCCUGGGUGGCCCACGCAGUGAGUCACUGACAGCCCUCGUGGUUGGCCCGUGGCACAGCAUGGAGCGAAAUGGUCCAGUGACCUUUUCAGACACUCGGGCAAUGCGUGGUAUAGUGUAUGUGGUCACUCCCAGUGAGUCCUAUUGUUCAGUUUAAUAGAAUAUCUAAUUCUAUGUUUAUUCUGAAUAAAGGGAGAUUUCUUGUGGUUUUUAAGAA